rnacentral:lncRNA from 1 species
UUUUCCUUUCCUUCACUGAGCCGAGGGUCCAUUGGAAACAGCCUCUAUGCCCUCUCGGGUAUGGGUAAGACCCGUCUACAUACUACCCUCCCCAGACCCCACUUUGUGGGACUAUACUGGGUAGUUGUUGUUGCAAUGAGUUCAGUAUGUACUUUUUCAAAGAUGUGUGUUAGCGCAUGAUAGCUAACACAAGGAGCAACAUGAUAUCAUUUCAUUUGGGUAGUAAACGUACAAUGAACUAACUAACUUCAGCUCUAUUGUUAAAGUUUCUCGGGUGCAAAGACAAAAACUUCAGCUCUAGAGCUGAAGUUCACCAUUCUCUAGUUACAAAACAAAAAACUUGAGCUUUAGAGUUGAACUUCAGGCCCAGCUACUAAAAUGCUGAAGUUUUGUGUGGUUGUCUUUACUAUUUCAGCCCCGUAUGCUGAUGUUAUGCGAAAAAGUGGGUACGCUUGCAAUUUUUUUUUUACAAAGCAUGCACAAGUUAAAACGUGACAGAAAAAGCGGGUACAAAUACAAAUCCCGAAUCCGAUCCAAGUCAUUGAGAUUGUAAUUGGGCUAAUUAAGCUCUAUUGGGCUUCCUGGACUAAGUGUUGGGCAGCUGCUCGUCUUGUAAUCCAACAACACCCAAAAGAGGCUUAGUGAAAAUAUCAUCUAACUUGAGAAGAAAUAGAGAUGGAGAAAAGAUUAAUCCCAUUAAUAAUACUCCCUUCAUUUUAUAUUAAAUGAGCUGGUUUGACUCUAUAUGAAAUUUAGGAAAAAAGAAGAAAACUUUUGAAAUUUGUGGUCUUAAAAGCUUAAGGGGUAAAAAGUUUAUGGGGCCAUGACAUUUGUGUGGCUAUAAAAGCUUCUCGUUAAGGGUAAAAGAGUAAAAUGAAAGAGUUUAAAAUUGAAUUAUAUAUUUCAAAUUUAGAAAUGUGUCAUUUAUUUUAGAACAUAACAACUACCCAGUAUACUCCCACCAGGUGGGGUCUGGGGAGGGUAAUAUGUAGGCAGUCUUACCCCUACCCAAAAGGGCAGAGAGGCUGCUUCCAUGAAGUAGUUAUUUUAGAACAUACUAAAAAGGAAAGUAGUUCAAAGAAAGGGAUACUAGAUUUCAAAGCAUCCCGAACAAAUGAUAAUUCACUUUAUGUGUUUUGUCCUCUGAUGCAAAAAUAAGAUUCAUUGCAAUAUUUAUAGCAGACAGAAUAUCACAAAACACAUCACAGAAACUAAAUUAGUGACACCAAAAUCAGAUAAAAGUCUAACUGAUAAACGUCUUCAGAUAAUCUGGUUCUUUCAGCAUCUGACCUGUUUCUUUCGAUAUAUGCAUGACACAUUUGCAACCUUGAAUAUAAGCAUAGAAAAUAUUCUUAAAAUACCUAGUUGUUUAAUAAUUAUCAAAACCAAUUUAAGUUUAGCUCAAAACACUUUUCAUGAUUUACCCUAUACUUUCAUCAAACCUUUUACUUCUUAAAAUAAAAUGGAAGUCAACUUGCAGGCAGCUGUAUUAAGCAUUAAUUUGAUUAUAGCUUCUGGAAGGUAGCAGACAUAGAAGGAAUCAUCAGCACAAGCCACUCGUGCACAACUAAUUAGCUAAUAUCUUCAUGAUAUUUCUUAACCACUCUAUCAAUUCAUUACUUAUUUAAAUAAUGUGAUUCUCUGUUUGUUUAGAUCUCAAGUCUUUCUAAUACUUAUUUUUCAUUUCCUUAUUGUAUGAUGCAUCUCCAAAUAAACCAGUUCAAUUCAUCCCUAAUAUACAUGUUUUAGGAUUUCUCCUGGAAGCAAAUCUUUUAUGCAUACCUCUUCUGGUUGAUUCACACACAGAGGCGGAGCCAGAGUUUCAAUCUUAUACGUUCUUGAUUUUAGAACGACGAAUUCAAAUGUUAGUGACUAGUUCUAAAUGUUAUAUUUGUACUUUUUUAAUGAAUGUAAGCAUUAAAUAUAAGCAAAAACUAUUGGGUUCAGCCGAACUCGUAGCUUGGCUUAUGCCUAUG